GGCAAUUGUGCCUAAACAAAUCGAUCCUGCUAGAUUUCCCUACGGUCGUAAGCAUGACCCUCAUGCCAUAUGUGGAUAUCAUGUUGGAUAUGCAGGGAAUUUCUAUAGAGAAUUGUUACCCUUUCAAGGCCAAAGUUCAAGAGCUCGUUAAUCAGAAGUUGUUGUGCUUCACACCCGUAACUGUUGAAGCGUCUGUUGAGAAGAGGUUUGAAUAC
rnacentral:lncRNA from 1 species